GGAAUAAAUUCUAAUAUAAUUUUGCCAAACAAAAUUUACAGUUUCAAUUUCGUUUUUUAUUCCAGCAAUAACUAAAUGUUUUGCUAGUGGACCGACUUACUUUAAACCAUCCAACAAAGAAAAGAAACUGAACAACUGUGAAAAGUGGGA
ensembl:ncRNA C43G2.29 ncRNA